GUGGGGAAUAUUGGACAAUGGGCGAAAGCCUGAUCCAGCCAUGCCGCGUGUGUGAAGAAGGUCUUCGGAUUGUAAAGCACUUUAAGUUGGGAGGAAGGGCAUUAACCUAAUACGUUAGUGUUUUGACGUUACCGACAGAAUAAGCACCGGCUAACUUCGUGCCAGCAGCCGCGGUAAUACGAAGGGUGCAAGCGUUAAUCGGAAUUACUGGGCGUAAAGCGCGCGUAGGUGGUUCAGUAAGUUGGAUGUGAAAUCCCCGGGCUCAACCUGGGAACUGCAUCCAAAACUGCUGAGCUAGAGUACGGUAGAGGGUGGUGGAAUUUCCUGUGUAGCGGUGAAAUGCGUAGAUAUAGGAAGGAACACCAGUGGCGAAGGCGACCACCUGGACUGAUACUGACACUGAGGUGCGAAAGCGUGGGGAGCAAACAGGAUUAGAAACCCGGGUAGUCC
rnacentral:rRNA from 1 species